rnacentral:tRNA from 1 species
AAAAAUUAUAUAUAUUUAUAUAUAAGG